ACACCUGGAGGAAAAGGAGUUUUGGCUUCAGCAUCUAACGGGAAGAAAGAAACUGAGUUUGAGUAGACUGACGAUUUGGAAAGCGGUUCAUCAGUUGAGUGCACGUCGGUGCGGCGGAGGUUUUUUUUUUGGGUCGCUCCAACUCCAAGGAGGGGCGAGAAAAGAAAAAAAAAAACGGUUUAGCGGCUGAAGAAGAGGAGCGGUGAGAAACGGCUGCUGGAGAAGGAGAGACAGGAGGACGGAGGUGAAGGAGGCUGGACCUGGACGUCUUCUCGGCGGUCUCAAGUGGAUGUGGAUCCUAGUGAAGGACCGGCGGAGAGGAUUCCACUAAAGGAAUAUAUCACUUGUCAGAGCCUGCUGACCUGUAGCCACAGCUGAGGGACUGGACGACUCCUGUCUCACUAUGUCUUCUGCCCUCCAAGGAAAGCUGCAGCGGGACGGAGACCACAAGAAACCAGUGAUCGUUUUGGAGGGGAACAUUGCCAGUGGGAAGACCACGUGUCUGGAGUACUUCAGCAAAACCAGCGAUGUGAAGGUCUUCACAGAGUCGGUCUCCACAUGUUGGAACGUCCGAGGACACAAUCCUCUGGCUCUGAGGUACCAGGAUCCUGAACGCUGGGGCCUGACGCUGCAGAGCUACAUCCAGCUCACCAUGCUGGACCGACACACGUCCACCACAGAGGCUGCAGUCAAGAUGAUGGAGAGGUCCAUCUUCAGCGCCAAGUACAUCUUUGAGGAGAACCUCUUCAGAAGUGGGAAGAUGCCCGAGGUGGACUUUGCCGUGCUCAGUGAGUGGUUCGACUGGAUCACCACCAACGUGUCCAUUCCAGUGGAUCUGAUUGUCUACCUGCAGACGGAUCCUGAGACGUGCCACCGGCGGCUGAAGCAGCGCGGCAGAGAGGAGGAGAAGGGCAUUACACUGGAGGACCUGCAGGUGAUCCACCAGCUGUAUGAGGACUGGCUGGUCAGACGGACCUCGUUCCCGCUGCCGGCUCCCGUCCUGGUGAUUCCUGCAGACGGCGACCCUCAGGAAAUGAUCCGCAAGUAUGAAGAGAACCGAGAGCAGAUCCUGGCUGCUGCAAAGCCCUGAGACACACACACACACACACACACACACACACACACACACACACACACACACACACACACACACACACACACACACACACACACACACACACACACACACACACACACACACACAGGUGGUGACCACCCAAGUGAGAACAUUUAAACAUUCACACUGACUCAUACAGGAAGCUUGGACUGAACCACACCUCGAGAAGGUCAAGUAAUUUUAAUUUUCACGUUGGCAGUGAAGUUCUAUAACUUUAAAGUUUUCAGAUUUGAGACUAUUGAUCCGAUAUUUAAAAUGACUCGCUUAAACCUUGCAUUAGGUUAACUGUUUAGUAAGGAGACUUUAAAACUAGACAUCAGGCCUUGAGUGACAAUAAUUAAGAAUGAAUGAAUAAGAACACAAAACUGUCCUGAGAGCAGACCGGGCCAUGAUUGUUUAACCCCUAAUAUUUGUAUAAUUAACAACAGGUAACAUAAAAACAAAAUUUCUAAUCAGACCUCACAGAGUUGGUGGUCGCAUAGAAGUCAUUUUAGAAAAUUUUAAAAUAGAAAUAAUCUAACUAAGUAUAAUAGAAAUAAAUAAGUAAAUAAAUAAAUAAAGAGAAAUGAAACACUGCAAAUGUCAUCGCAAUAUGCAAAUCUAGAAACAGACACCAGGUCAAUAAUUAAGGUCUGUCUCUUUCCAAGACUGUACAAAAAGUUUUUACACCGAUCAGUUAAAUCUGCUGCCAAACUCAAACUGCAGUGAAAAUCAAAACAGACCCAGACCACAGAGAUCCACUGCAUUAAUGGAGUGAAAAGAUCAAAUCAAACCAACUUUUACUUAUAGAUUAUUUUUCCUGCAAAUACAGGCCGCAACAGUAUUAACUGACCCCUGACCCCCCCACCGACACAAGGGGGGUAUCAACCUCAGAAAGCUCCACAACGACCAGCCCCCAAACCAUCCCAUGAUGCCCUGGGGUGCCGAGGUCCUACAAGGGGGGAGGAGUAGCUGACUGUGUCCAAACCAAAAUAAUUCCCUGCUGUAGAACUGAACAUGAACUGGAAAAAUCCUGGACUCCUCACUAACCUGACCCUCACUCUGGAACACCAUACAGCACAACAAACCAGUCACACACACCCUCAACACACACACCAGCUGGAAUAUUUUCCAGGAAAAAACAGAGCGAUGGCCACUUUAGAAAGAAAUUAAAACACAAAUGGGAGGUUAAGAACUGGAGCAGACGUUUCUACUCUGAUCCGACUGUCCUGUAAAUCCGCUGAUGAAGGUCGUGACAGCGACCAUGAACGCAAAAAUAAUCUGUUGAAGAAAAACACACUGACUUUAUUUUCCCUGAUGGUAGAAUCAGGCGGCGUCUCUGAGACAAAACAUCCCAUCAGCUGAUACAAACAGCAGCUCAGCUCACACAGGCAGAGGUCAGAGGUCAGAGGUCAGAGACAUGGUGGGACAGGCUGAGACGUCCUGGUGAGACUCCUCUCCACGAGGCUAGAAGAAAGGGGAGCCGUGGAUUAGAAGCCUCAGGACGUACAUGCCCCCCGUCCACACCCCACACUGGACCUACAACUACUCACUGAACCCUGAUCCAGGACACGACGCCGUCUGGGAAGCAAAAGAAGAUCUGUUCACCCAGGAAGACACACCGGGGUUAACAGUGGAGAACAUCUACGUGGGACCAGAAGGCGUGGCCGCUGCACUGAAUCUACAGGACACACUGACGGCGUUAUAAACACUCAAUCAAGACUCAGUGCCACACAUCACUCUGGCUGUGGCAGGACGACAAGCCAAGAACCUGGGCCCCAUGAUGAAGCAUGCCCUGGACAAAUCAAACGUUUGGAGCCCCACUGUUAACCCACUACUGCAGUACUGUAAAGAAAAUAACAUCUACCGCACUGCUCACAGAUCACACGCAGCACAAACACUAGAAAAAAACCACAUUACAAAGAACACACGGCCAAGAAAACACACACUCUCCAACUGCAGAAAAACUGCUGGAGCAGGGACCCUGCAGGAGUGAACAGGGACCCUGCAGGAGUGAACAGGGACCCUGCAGGAGUGAACAGGGACCCAGCAGGAGUGAACAGGGACCCAGCAGGAGUGAACAGGGACCCAGCAGGAGUGAACAGGGACCCUGCAGGAGUGAACAGGGACCCUGCAGGAGUGAACAGGGACCCUGCAGGAGUGGUCUCUGGGACCCACAGAUGUAGGACACUGUACCAGCAUUGAACCGAUACACAUUAAAAUGAGAAAUGAGAUCCCUAUUUGUCAGCCACAGAACCCCCUCCCUGAAGCUAAAUUAAAUGGUGCAAGAAAUACCAUACGGGGGCUUCUGAGAACAGGAGUACUGAUUGAAUGUCGAUCAAAAUAUAACACACCGUUGAACCCGGUUGAGAAACCGGGGAAGCCCGACUAUCGGCUGGUGCACGAUCUGAGAAAAAUAAACGCUAAUCUGGAAACAUCAAACUAUGACACACCGAGCUCCUGCACCAUGCUGGCAGGAACAGAGCAAAAGAACACAUUUUUUACAGUCAUGGAUCUCUCUAAUGCAUUCUUCUGCAUCCCGAUAACUGAGGACUCACAGAAGUACUUUGCGUUCUCUUAUGAAGGAAAACAAUACGCCUACACCAGGCUGCCCCCCCGGGACUGAAUGACAGCCCCUCCCUCUUCAAUGCUGCACUGAGAAAUCUAAUGAAAGAACUGACUGUCCCACCUGACGUGAACUUCCUCCAAUAUGUCGACGACAUAUUGAUCUCUAGCCCACCAGAACAAACCACAGCCGAAGCGACAAUUUAUCUCCUCAAAUGGUUGGCAGAGAAAGGAUUUAAAGUUUCUAAACAGAAGCUGCAGCUCUGCCGACCCAGAGUAACCUUCCUGGGCAGAGUUGUGAGCCACCCGGGCAUAUCAGUCACAGGAGACCACAACGACACAAUAUGGUCACAUCCGAAGCCACGGUGAAAGAACUAAUGAGCUUUCUGGGCUUAACUGACUCCAGCAAAAACUUUGUGAGCGAAUAUACAGAAACAUCCACCCUCUGCGCCAAAUGAUUAAAACUGAAGGAAGCAGCAAUUACUCCCACCCGCUGGAAUGGACUGUGGAGGGAGAAAAGGCCUUCAUCAAAAUUAAACAGUGGACGCCAUUGAAGCAGGACAACCGAGCUGCGUAAGGGGGGUGACGCCAUCGCAAACUCCAUUCAGAAAACAACGCACAUAACGACGGGACAUGAAACUUACAAACACACCAACCAUGCAGUAACAAGUUUUAUCACAAGCCAAAGAUUUUCACUUUUACCAGACAAGGAAGCUGCAGAGCGUUCUCAUUCUCCAUCAGACUGACACUCGCUCUGAAGCAGCUGAUAACACGGCCUCGGGGAUAAAACGGAAUGAACCACAUGGCUGACACAAGAAUAUCAAACACACACGACUCUGACCACAGAAGAAGUGAUCAGACCUGAUCUGACAUUACUGAUGAUGGACACAGUCACUGCUCUCCGCCGAACAACAAACACUCAUAGAAAAACUUGGAUCCAUUAGACGACUAGUGACCUUUACACUCUGCUCCCCACAGAGCAGACUGCAGGAGAUUUAUUUUAUUCUAUCAGCAUGAAGGACACAAGAUUAUAAGAUGGAAUUUAGAAAGCAGAAACUUCCCUGAUCAUUCACCAGCUUGCCUGGUUCUGCAUUUAGACAGCAGAGCAAAGAAAACUAUUUUGGAAACUGAAUCUGAGCUCACAUUAAAACAGCAAUACUACAAAUAAAACCUGAAAUACAGACCUUUCUCCAGAUUAAUGUCUGAAGAGAAGUCAACCAAAUAUACUCUGGAUACAUUAAAAGAAGUUAUCAGAGGUAAACGGAUCUCUCUUGGGACAGUAAUUAAAUUAAAAAAAAAAAAAAAAAAAACUUACAGAACUUAAGAAUUGUCGUAAUUAUUGCUUAAUUUGAUAUUAUUUUGAAUAUUUUUUUGGGAAUUU